AUGAAAUACGGUUUCAAGUUGCUGAAACUUUGCAAGAUCAAGAAGAAGAAAAAGAUGCCUGAUCCAGUACCUUUGCUCAGGGACUUGUGGAUCCCAAGAGAUCAUGGGAUACCAGGACAAAUGGUGCAACCAAUUAUUCAGGCGAACAAUUUUGAAUUGAAGCCUGCUCUGAUUAACAUGGCACAACAGUCCAGAUUUGGUGGAACAGCUUUAGAAGAUCCACAUGAGCAUAUAAGGACUUUCUUGGAGUAUUGUAACACUCUCAAGCAAAAUGGAGUUUCACCGAGUGCUAUCAGAUUAUCACUAUUCCCAUUUUCCUUGAGAGAUGGAGCAAGAGUAUGGCUUAACUCAUUGCCUGAACAUCUGAAGGAUACUUGGGAGACCUUAUUGCAGACAUUUCUUGAGAGAUACUUUCCACCAACAAAAGCUGCUGAAUACAGGGACAAGUUAACAAGGUUUACUCAAUAUGAUGGAGAAAGUUUGUAUGACGCAUGGCAAAGAUUCAACUCUUUAAUCAGAAUGUGUCCUCGUCAUGGUUUAGAAAGAUGGCUGGUGUUACAAACCUUUUACAAAGGACUGUCCAUUCAGACCAGAGCUUUUGUCGAUUCUGCAGCUGGAGGAGGAAUCAUGAACAAAACCCUUGAUGAAGCAUUCGCAUUGAUUGAAAGUAUGGCGUCUCAUCAUUUCCAAUGGUCAAGUGAAAGAGCAAUAGCACCACCACAUCCUGGUGUGUACAAUGUGUCUGCAAAUGAUAGCAUGGCGGCUCAAAUUGACAUCUUGAACAAGAAGAUGGACAGUAUCAUGUCAAAUUGCAUCGGUACAUCUGUAGCUUCAGUAAGUGUGCCUCAAAUGUGUGAUGUAUGUGGCCAAGCAGGUCAUCCUUCAACAGAAUGCACCUUCUUAUUCAGCAAUUGGAUCAUCGGUUUCAGAAGUAAGUUAUGCCCAAAGUCAAGGUCCAUUCUCAAACAGUUACAAUCCUUCUUGGAGGAACCAUCCAAACUUGUCGUACAAGAACAAUCAGUCAUAUGCAAGUGGAUCGACAGUACAAGGAAAUCGACCACCAAAUCAUCCAAGUCAAUUUCAAGUGCCGAGGCAGAAUGA
rnacentral:rRNA from 1 species